GGACAGAUGGCCGAGUUGGUUAGUUUCCCACAGAAACAUGGCUCACUGAAUUGCAUACUAACCAAUGAAUCAGGUUAUGGCGCCAGGUUAAGGUUAUCUUAACAACAUGUUUCCUGGUCACGAAAGUGGUGAGAAGCCUACACAUUCUUAAAAGAAAUCAAUUACUAAUUUCCCUAGGCGUGGGUUCGAGUCCCACUCUGUUCA